rnacentral:rRNA from 2 species
CUGCGGAGGGAUCAUUACACAAUAUGAAAGCGGGUUGGGACCUCACCUCGGUGAGGGCUCCAGCUUGUCUGAAUUAUUCACCCAUGUCUUUUGCGCACUUCUUGUUUCCUGGGCGGGUUCGCCCGCCACCAGGACCAAACCAUAAACCUUUUUGUAAUUGCAAUCAGCGUCAGUAAACAAUGUAAUUAUUACAACUUUCAACAACGGAUCUCUUGGUUCUGGCAUCGAUGAAGAACGCAGCGAAAUGCGAUACGUAGUGUGAAUUGCAGAAUUCAGUGAAUCAUCGAAUCUUUGAACGCACAUUGCGCCCUUUGGUAUUCCAAAGGGCAUGCCUGUUCGAGCGUCAUUUGUACCCUCAAGCUUUGCUUGGUGUUGGGCGUCUUUGUCUCUCACGAGACUCGCCUUAAAAUGAUUGGCAGCCGACCUACUGGUUUCGGAGCGCAGCACAAUUCUUGCACUUUGAAUCAGCCUUGGUUGAGCAUCCAUCAAGACCACAUUUUCUUAACUUUUGACCUCGGAUCAGGUAGGGAUACCCGCUGAACUUAAGCAUAUCAAU